GACGAACGCUGGCGGCGUGCUUAACACAUGCAAGUCGAACGGAGUGGCGAACGGGUGAGUAACACGUGGGUGACCUGCCCUGCACUUCGGGAUAAGCCUGGGAAACUGGGUCUAAUACCGGCUAGUGUGGGAUGGGCCGGCGGCCAAUCAGCUUGUUGGUGGGGUAAUGGCCUACCAAGGCGGCGCCGGGUAGCCGGCCUGAGAGGGUGGACUGCCACCAUGGUACUGAGACACGGCCCAGAGUCCUACGGGGGGCAGUGGUGGGGAAUAUGGCGCAAUGAGGGGAAGCCUGAGUAAGCGACGCCGCGUGGGGGAUGAAGGCCUUCGGGUUGUAAACUCAUUUCAGCAUCGACGCGGUAGAUGGAGAAGAAGCACCGGCUAACUACGUGCCAGCAGCCGCGGUAAUAC
rnacentral:rRNA from 1 species